AAGCGUCGGUAAGGUGAUAUGAACCGUUAUAACCGGCGAUGUCCGAAUGGGGAAACCCAGUGUGUUUCGACACACUAUCAUUAACUGAAUCCAUAGGUUAAUGAGGCGAACCGGGGGAACUGAAACAUCUAAGUACCCCGAGGAAAAGAAAUCAACCGAGAUUCCCCCAGUAGCGGCGAGCGAACGGGGAGGAGCCCAGAGCCUGAAUCAGUGUGUGUGUUAGUGGAAGCGUCUGGAAAGGCGCGCGAUACAGGGUGACAGCCCCGUACACAAAAAUGCACAUGCUGUGAGCUCGAUGAGUAGGGCGGGACACGUGGUAUCCUGUCUGAAUAUGGGGGGACCAUCCUCCAAGGCUAAAUACUCCUGACUGACCGAUAGUGAACCAGUACCGUGAGGGAAAGGCGAAAAGAACCCCGGCGAGGGGAGUGAAAAAGAACCUGAAACCGUGUACGUACAAGCAGUGGGAGCCCUGAUUUAUCAGGGUGACUGCGUACCUUUUGUAUAAUGGGUCAGCGACUUAUAUUCUGUAGCAAGGUUAACCGAAUAGGGGAGCCGGAGGGAAACCGAGUCUUAACUGGGCGUUAAGUUGCAGGGUAUAGACCCGAAACCCGGUGAUCUAGCCAUGGGCAGGUUGAAGGUUGGGUAACACUAACUGGAGGACCGAACCGACUAAUGUUGAAAAAUUAGCGGAUGACUUGUGGCUGGGGGUGAAAGGCCAAUCAAACCGGGAGAUAGCUGGUUCUCCCCGAAAGCUAUUUAGGUAGCGCCUCGUGAAUUCAUCUCCGGGGGUAGAGCACUGUUUCGGCAAGGGGGUCAUCCCGACUUACCAACCCGAUGCAAACUGCGAAUACCGGAGAAUGUUAUCACGGGAGACACACGGCGGGUGCUAACGUCCGUCGUGAAGAGGGAAACAACCCAGACCGCCAGCUAAGGUCCCAAAGUCAUGGUUAAGUGGGAAACGAUGUGGGAAGGCCCAGACAGCCAGGAUGUUGGCUUAGAAGCAGCCAUCAUUUAAAGAAAGCGUAAUAGCUCACUGGUCGAGUCGGCCUGCGCGGAAGAUGUAACGGGGCUAAACCAUGCACCGAAGCUGCGGCAGCGACACUGUGUGUUGUUGGGUAGGGGAGCGUUCUGUAAGCCUGCGAAGGUGUGCUGUGAGGUAUGCUGGAGGUAUCAGAAGUGCGAAUGCUGACAUAAGUAACGAUAAAGCGGGUGAAAAGCCCGCUCGCCGGAAGACCAAGGGUUCCUGUCCAACGUUAAUCGGGGCAGGGUGAGUCGACCCCUAAGGCGAGGCCGAAAGGCGUAGUCGAUGGGAAACAGGUUAAUAUUCCUGUACUUGGUGUUACUGCGAAGGGGGGACGGAGAAGGCUAUGUUGGCCGGGCGACGGUUGUCCCGGUUUAAGCGUGUAGGCUGGUUUUCCAGGCAAAUCCGGAAAAUCAAGGCUGAGGCGUGAUGACGAGGCACUACGGUGCUGAAGCGACAAAUGCCCUGCUUCCAGGAAAAGCCUCUAAGCAUCAGGUAACAUCAAAUCGUACCCCAAACCGACACAGGUGGUCAGGUAGAGAAUACCAAGGCGCUUGAGAGAACUCGGGUGAAGGAACUAGGCAAAAUGGUGCCGUAACUUCGGGAGAAGGCACGCUGAUAUGUAGGUGAAGCGACUUGCUCGUGGAGCUGAAAUCAGUCGAAGAUACCAGCUGGCUGCAACUGUUUAUUAAAAACACAGCACUGUGCAAACACGAAAGUGGACGUAUACGGUGUGACGCCUGCCCGGUGCCGGAAGGUUAAUUGAUGGGGUCAGCGCAAGCGAAGCUCUUGAUCGAAGCCCCGGUAAACGGCGGCCGUAACUAUAACGGUCCUAAGGUAGCGAAAUUCCUUGUCGGGUAAGUUCCGACCUGCACGAAUGGCGUAAUGAUGGCCAGGCUGUCUCCACCCGAGACUCAGUGAAAUUGAACUCGCUGUGAAGAUGCAGUGUACCCGCGGCAAGACGGAAAGACCCCGUGAACCUUUACUAUAGCUUGACACUGAACACUGGUCCUUGAUGUGUAGGAUAGGUGGGAGGCUUUGAAGUGUGGACGCCAGUCUGCAUGGAGCCGUCCUUGAAAUACCACCCUUUAAUGGCUGGUGUUCUAACGUGGGCCCGUAAUCCGGGUUGCGGACAGUGUCUGGUGGGUAGUUUGACUGGGGCGGUCUCCUCCUAAAGAGUAACGGAGGAGCACGAAGGUUGGCUAAUCCUGGUCGGACAUCAGGAGGUUAGUGCAAUGGCAUAAGCCAGCUUGACUGCGAGCGUGACGGCGCGAGCAGGUGCGAAAGCAGGUCAUAGUGAUCCGGUGGUUCUGAAUGGAAGGGCCAUCGCUCAACGGAUAAAAGGUACUCCGGGGAUAACAGGCUGAUACCGCCCAAGAGUUCAUAUCGACGGCGGUGUUUGGCACCUCGAUGUCGGCUCAUCACAUCCUGGGGCUGAAGUAGGUCCCAAGGGUAUGGCUGUUCGCCAUUUAAAGUGGUACGCGAGCUGGGUUUAGAACGUCGUGAGACAGUUCGGUCCCUAUCUGCCGUGGGCGCUGGAGAACUGAGGGGGGCUGCUCCUAGUACGAGAGGACCGGAGUGGACGCAUCACUGGUGUUCGGGUUGUCAUGCCAAUGGCACUGCCCGGUAGCUAAAUGCGGAAGAGAUAAGUGCUGAAAGCAUCUAAGCACGAAACUUGCCCCGA
rnacentral:rRNA from 1 species